GACGAACGCUGGCGGCGUGCUUAACACAUGCAAGUCGAACGGUGAAGCGCCUUCCUUUUUGGUGGGUGUGGAUGAGUGGCGAACGGGUGAGUAACACGUGAGUAACCUGCCCCCUUCUUCUGGAUAACCGCAUGAAAGUGUGGCUAAUACGGGAUAUUCUGGGUCUGUCGCAUGAUGGGUCUGGGAAAGAUAUUGUUUCGGUGGGGGAUGGGCUCGCGGCCUAUCAGCUUGUUGGUGGGGUGAUGGCCUACCAAGGCGGUGACGGGUAGCCGGCCUGAGAGGGUGGACGGCCGCACGGGGACUGAGACACGGCCCAGACUCCUACGGGAGGCAGCAGUGGGGAAUAUUGCACAAUGGGCGCAAGCCUGAUGCAGCGACGCCGCGUGAGGGAUGGAGGCCUUCGGGUUGUGAACCUCUUUCGCCAGUGAAGCAGGCCUGCCGCGUUUGUGGGUGGGUUGACGGUAGCUGGAUAAGAAGCGCCGGCUAACUACGUG
rnacentral:rRNA from 1 species